UGAGGAGUCCCAUAAUAGGACGAAACGGCCGUC
rfam:Schistosoma mattheei strain Denwood, Zambia genome assembly, scaffold: SMTD_scaffold0010380